rnacentral:rRNA from 1 species
AACGAACGCUGGCGGCAGGCCUAACACAUGCAAGUCGAGCGAAGCCUUCGGGCUUAGCGGCGGACGGGUGAGUAACGCGUGGGAACGUGCCCUUUGCUACGGAAUAGCCCCGGGAAACUGGGAGUAAUACCGUAUGUGCCCUUCGGGGGAAAGAUUUAUUGGCAAAGGAUCGGCCCGCGUUGGAUUAGGUAGUUGGUGGGGUAAUGGCCUACCAAGCCGACGAUCCAUAGCUGGUUUGAGAGGAUGAUCAGCCACACUGGGACUGAGACACGGCCCAGACUCCUACGGGAGGCAGCAGUGGGGAAUCUUAGACAAUGGGGGAAACCCUGAUCUAGCCAUGCCGCGUGAUCGAUGAAGGCCUUAGGGUUGUAAGGAUCUUUCAGUGGGGAAGAUAAUGACUGUACCCACAGAAGAAGCCCCGGCUAACUCCGUGCCAGCCGCCGCAGUAAAAC